ACAUGUCUUUUUAGUAUUUAAUAUAAAGUCUGACCUGCCCACUGAAUUUUUUUUUAAAGGGCCGCAGUAUUUUGACUGUGCAAAGGUAGCAUAAUCAUUAGUCUUUUUAUUGAGGGCUGGUAUGAAUGGUUGGAUGAGGUACAAGCUGUGUCAUAAAAAAUUAAUAUUUGAAUUUAACUUUUUAGUUAAAAGGCUAAAAUAAGUUUAAAAGACGAGAAGACCCUAUAGAGCUUUAUAUAAUAAAUAUUUAAGUUAUUAGGAUUUAUUAAAUUUAAUUUUUAUGUUAUAUUUUGUUGGGGUGACAAUAAAAUUUAUAAAACUUUUAUUUUUAUUUUACAUUGAUUAAUGAUUACAUGAUCCAGUUUUAUUGAUUAUAAAUUUAAGUUACCUUAGGGAUAACAGCGUAAUUUUUUUUGAGAGUUCUUAUCGACAAAAAAGAUUGCGACCUCGAUGUUGGAUUAAGAGUAAUUUUGGGUGUAGAAGUUCAAAAUUUAAGUCUGUUCGACUUUUAAAUUCUUACAUGAUC
rnacentral:rRNA from 1 species